GUGGCUGCCAGGGAGGCUGGAGCUGAGCAAGCAAUGCGAGCCGCCGGCCUGCCCGCCUGUAAUUCAGGUAGAAAAGCAAGCAUAAAGUCAAUAUUCAUGGUGCGGGUAAGAAUUGCCACCACACAAUGAAAUGGUAAUGAGCCGGCUCACAAAGGAGACAAGCCGGAUAAUCAGCUUUUAAGGAGGUGCUGGGGCACAUGAGGCUGCCAGGGCCUGAGCGGGCGUCCCGGCCAUGGGCCCCCACCAUCUGCGGGCAUUGGCAGAAGGCCGGCGGGAGCCAGGGCGGGUCUCACCAGGCCCUCUUCCCCUGGCCCUGCCUCUCCAUUUUGUCAUUCUGGGGCCUCAAGGAGCCUAAACUUUGAGGACAAAAAGCCGCUUUGCAGCCACUGUCUCCUUGCUGGCUUUCAGAUGAGUCUGGGGUGAUGGCUGGCAGGCAAACGGGAAAAUUGGAAACCUUGCAGCUGUACCUGGCGUACAUGCUAAAUGCACGCAGCGGUCGUUACCUGACUAGCUCCAGAUCCCUAAGCAGGAAAUCUUACCCAAAAUCACAGACACUGGGGAGUGGAGUCAGGCACUGGCAAAAUUAGAAUAAAAGAAGGGUCAAAAGGAAAUGAAGC
rnacentral:lncRNA from 1 species